GACGAACGCUGGCGGCGUGCUUAACACAUGCAAGUCGAACGGAAAGGCCCUUCGGGGUACUCGAGUGGCGAACGGGUGAGUAACACGUGGGUGAUCUGCCCUGCACUUUGGGAUAAGCCUGGGAAACUGGGUCUAAUACCGGAUAGGACUACGGCCUGCAUGGGUUGUGGUGGAAAGCUUUUGCGGUGUGGGAUGGGCCCGCGGCCUAUCAGCUUGUUGGUGGGGUGAUGGCCUACCAAGGCGACGACGGGUAGCCGGCCUGAGAGGGUGUCCGGCCACACUGGGACUGAGAUACGGCCCAGACUCCUACGGGAGGCAGCAGUGGGGAAUAUUGCACAAUGGGCGCAAGCCUGAUGCAGCGACGCCGCGUGGGGGAUGACGGCCUUCGGGUUGUAAACCCCUUUCAGCACAGACGAAGCGCAAGUGACGGUAUGUGCAGAAGAAGCACCGGCCAACUACGUGCCAGCCGCCGCCGUAACAC
rnacentral:rRNA from 1 species